ACCUUUGACCCAUUUAUUGACACAUUUUCACCUCCCUUUCCAUCUCUAUGCAAUGUACACAAUCAUUCAUGCUCCCUAGCUUCAAGACCACUCCAUUUUACCCUUCACACUUUGCAUCAUCACUUCAUUUUCACCCUUGGACCAUUGCACACCACACACACAAAUUACCAUGCAUUUCAUCCUUAACCUAACCUGAUUUUCUAAGGUUUUUGGGGCCUAUAAAUACAUGUUUACACCCCUUGGCCAAAGGACAAUCCCCCCAUAUUCAUCAUUUUAUCACAGAAAUUCGUCCAUACACACCCUAGGAAGCAAAACACCCCAAAAACACAAUUCUAGUGCCUAGAAAACAUAACAGCCACUCCACCUUCUUCCACCCUCUUUGCCUAGUUCUCUACCACUCCCCAACCAUCAAACACUCUUCCACUCUCACCCUAAACCCUUCCACAAAAAUUCCCCAUCCAUUCUACACCAUAAAUCCACCCAAAAAUCUGUCCACAAGCUUCAUGCCGCAAGCAAGGGAAAAGAGGAAUCUUGGAUGCACUUGCUACCAAGUUGAAGCAUUUUAGGUGUUUUCUUUCCUUUGAUUUUAAUGUCUAAUUUUAUGUAUCUUUGCUUUGUGAGUAUGAGGAACUAAACCCCCCUUAGUUGGGGGGUGAUUCGAAACCAUGUACAUGCUUGCAAUAUGAUUUGAUUACAUUCAGUUGUUAUUUCAUAAGUUGCGGAUUCAAUUCGUUCAUCUACUUGAUUGAUAACUUAUUUGUGUAUGUUGAUUGAGAGUGCACGCUUAGUUUUCAUGCAUGAAUAUGAUGCUAGAUUAUG
rnacentral:lncRNA from 1 species